AUGAGUCCAUGCGUCUUCUCAAUGUUGGUGAUUUUGUGGCCGGUAAUGGCUGUGGAGACGUUCACCUUGGAGGGCAAGCAGAUCCUCGAAACCUUGCACUGUCCACCUUGCGAACGCAUCCAUUGUUCCCCUCGCCGAGCGCUGAAGCUCCAGUGUAAGGGUGGAAUCACCACUGGGAUCUGCGGUUGUUGUCCAGCCUGUGCCAAGCUUGCGGGAGAAAGCUGUGGAGGCACCUGGGACUACCUGGGGAAAUGUGAUGAAGGGCUGGUUUGCAUUUACCCAGAAGAAACUGAUGGAAAACCAGAGGCAGAACUCAAGGGAACCUGCAAAUCAGUGCUGGAGGUUCUCAAAGCCGACACUUGCAGACCGGAGUGCACAUGGGAGUUCUGCAAGGCAAAUCCCAAUGAAAUAUGCUCAGCCAGGUCUGUAUCGUUGGAGAAGCGUGAGUGUGGAGGUCACUGCCAGCACACCACCUGCUCCAGCUGCUUGGUUCUCAGACCUCCAUCGUGUCCUCAAUCCUGUUCUCCAACAGAUCACGUGUGCCUGCAUCGCUUCGGCAGGUGUGUGCAAGGACACCUGACCCAAGAAACACAUCCACCCAUCUGCCACCAGAACCUACAGAAUAACUAUGAGGGAUUCUUUGUGUGCUUGGCCCCUACCUGUCCAACUGCAGCCAACUGAUUCUGCAUUUUAAGAAGAAUCCAAAUAAUGUAAUCCAGUUGUAAAUUGUAGCAUAAAAGGCAGCUAUUUUUAAUAAUGCAUUUCAUUACUAUAUAUAUAAAAAAAAGAAUGCUGUGAAAUUACUUGCAUUAUUCUUGUACAGCUUUUGUCGUACAAUCUAAAGCAGUGUUUUUGUCAUUAAAACAUGUUAAAACUGCAUUUCGAUGCCUACCAUUAAUAUUUUUGUCAUAUAAUCAUGUCCGUUUUUUAAAUGAUGUAUUCUAAUAUUUGUAUGUGCGAAUGUUAAAUGAAUAAAACUAUUUUCAUUUCGGAGAUCACACAUAUAUAUGCUUUCAAACAUGUAACAGAAAUGCACUUUAUUAAUUUUUCAAUAGUGAAUAACUUUUUCUUAAUUAUACCAACAGUGAUUUAAAUAUAUGCAUAAAUGCGUUAAACUUUAUGCAUGAAAGUAAGUUAUUAUAAGGCCGCCACUAAAUUCAAAAUGUAAAAAAUGUAUUCAAAAACAGAGCUAGUCAAGUGCACACAAAUGAGUGUCCGUUUCUCAAGAUGAAAAACACACCGCGUUUGUUAUCAGGCACAUACACCUGCUUUUGUUUUUACGACUGAUAAAAACAAGGGCCAGACAAAACGUUCAGCGCGCCAAGAGCCAUAAACUUCAACAACAGCCAAUAUGUCACUCUUAAGUGCGAUAUUGCCUUAAGUGAGGUUUUCUGCCUAAAGAAACACAAUGUAGCAUUGUUGCAUUUAUUUAUUGAAAAUAUUUGCACAAUUCAGAUCCUCUGGAUUAUUCAAAUUAGAGACAUUUACGCGAUAUCAAGACUAAUUUUCAUUACAGUUUUAAAGAUACUGACCACCAUAGCAUGAGUCUUCUGCAUAGUUGACUUGAUCUAGACAUGAAAACUGAAAAAUAUCCAAUAUAAAAGCACACCGAUCUCCCUACAUGAUUAUUUUUAAGCAAUUUUGCCAACGACUAGGUUGAAAAGGCAGGUUAAGACAGCGCUUUGUCUUCACCAUUUGGUAGCUAAUGUAGUGUCCCCAUUAUUCAAAAAGUAAAACCAGGCUACAUGCUAUCAUGUAACAUUCUUGGUGCUCGGCAGCAUCCGCACGAGCAAGAUGCUCUACCUCUGACAGAUGCACAGUGUUUAUGCAAAUCUAAGUAAUGUAAAUAAAAAUCAAGGAAUGUCAUGUUGAGCCCGAAGCAAAUCGUUCCUGAGUAGAUUUUUCCCCUCUUUCAUGAUAGUCUUUAUGAGUAAAAGGCACUUUGGACGUGAGCG
rnacentral:lncRNA from 1 species